rnacentral:misc_RNA from 1 species
ACACCUCAACUCUUCAUGGUUUUCUGUGAUGAGCUUGGACUUUGGGGGUUUUGCUGGCCUAUGGUCGGCUCCUCUGAAAUGAAUCAGCUUGCCAGUGUUUGGUGGGCAUCACAGGUGUGAUAACUAUCUACGCUUGUGGUUUUCCCACCGGGUAACCUUCAGCAGUGGAGGUUCGCUGGAGCUCACAGAUGUCUCUCCUUGGUGAGGACGACCCUUUGAAU